UACAGAGGUCUCAAGCGUUGUUCGGAUUCAUUGGGCGUAAAGGGCGCGUAGGCGGCCAUUCAAGUCGGGGGUGAAAGCCUGUGGCUCAACCACAGAAUUGCCUUCGAUACUGUUUGGCUUGAGACCGGAAGAGGUAAGUGGAACUGCGAGUGUAGAGGUGAAAUUCGUAGAUAUUCGCAAGAACACCAGUGGCGAAGGCGGCUUACUGGUCCGGUUCUGACGCUGAGGCGCGAAAGCGUGGGGAGCAAACAGG
rnacentral:rRNA from 1 species